AGAGUUUGAUCCUGGCUCAGAUCGAACGCUGGCGGCAGGCUUAACACAUGCAAGUCGAACGGUAACAGGAAGUAGCUUGCUAUCUGCUGACGAGCGGCGGACGGGUGAGUAAUGCUUGGGAAUAUGCCUUUGAGUGGGGGACAACAGUUGGAAACGACUGCUAAUACCGCAUAACGUCUACGGACCAAAGGGGGGGAUCUUCGGACCUCUCGCUCAUUGAUUAGCCCAAGUGAGAUUAGCUAGUUGGUAAGGUAAUGGCUUACCAAGGCGACGAUCUCUAGCUGGUUUGAGAGGAUGAUCAGCCACACUGGGACUGAGACACGGCCCAGACUCCUACGGGAGGCAGCAGUGGGGAAUAUUGCACAAUGGGCGAAAGCCUGAUGCAGCCAUGCCGCGUGUGUGAAGAAGGCCUUCGGGUUGUAAAGCACUUUACAGUUGUGAGGAAAGGGAUGUAGUUAAUAGCUGCAUUCUGUGACGUAACAACAGAAGAAGCACCGCUAACUU
rnacentral:rRNA from 1 species